UACGGGGGGGGCAAGCGUUGUUCGGAAUUACUGGGCGUAAAGGGCUCGUAGGUGGCCAACUAAGUCAGACGUGAAAUCCCUCGGCUUAACCGGGGAACUGCGUCUGAUACUGGAUGGCUAGAGUUUGGGAGAGGGAUGCGGAAUUCCAGGUGUAGCGGUGAAAAUGCGUAGAUAUCUGGAGGAACACCGGUGGCGAAGGCGGGUCUCUGGGCAAUUCCUGACGCUGGGAGCGCGAAAGCGUGGGGAGGCAAACGGG
rnacentral:rRNA from 1 species